rnacentral:rRNA from 1 species
UGGGGAAUUUUGGACAAUGGGCGCAAGCCUGAUCCAGCCAUGCCGCGUGCGGGAAGAAGGCCUUCGGGUUGUAAACCGCUUUUGUCAGGGAAGAAAUCUUCUGAGUUAAUACCUCGGGAGGAUGACGGUACCUGAAGAAUAAGCACCGGCUAACUACGUGCCAGCAGCCGCGGUAAUACGUAGGGUGCAAGCGUUAAUCGGAAUUACUGGGCGUAAAGCGUGCGCAGGCGGUUUUGUAAGACAGAGGUGAAAUCCCCGGGCUCAACCUGGGAACUGCCUUUGUGACUGCAAGGCUUGAGUGCGGCAGAGGGGGGAUGGAAUUCCGCGUGUAGCAGUGAAAAUGCGUAGAUAUGCGGAGGAAACACCGAUGGCGAAGGCAAAUCCCCUGGGGCCUGCACUGACGCUCAUGCACGAAAAGCGU